UCUGGCACCACCCCAGUAAUAAAUAUGAAAAUCCGUCUAUGCUGAAGGUACAAUUUUAGAAGGCUUCGGAUUGAUAGGGAUGCGACAAGGAGAAAGUCGAAGUUCUCCUAUUGUAUUUUUCUGGUAGUUGCAUCCCUAUCAAUCCCAGGCUUUCUUAUCAUUGCCACUAAGUACUGUAGGCUUAUCACAUGUCUGUUAUUAAGAUGAUACAAGCUAAAUAUAUGUAGAUGUACCUAGACUGGCACAAACUAUAGAUAUCUCAUAUCUACAGUAUGGCA